rnacentral:lncRNA from 1 species
GCGGCCGCAGCAGAGGCUACCGAACCGAGGGGUUGUCGUUGGUGGAGUCCCCAGACUUCGGAGGGAAAGGGGCGUGACCCGGAAGCGGAAGCCCAUCCUUCUCUCGGCUCCGGUGAGUGGUCUCUGCUGAGCCGCAGGUCCCGUUUGGGCGGCAGCGUAGGAGGGCUUUUAGGCUGGAGCAUCGGAUGCCGUGCGGUCCGCCUGUCCCUGCCCACAUCGAGGUCUUCACCUCUGCCUGCUCUCGGUAUGCAGGCUCAACACCCAAGACCUGCUCCGUGUCCCUGUCACGUCCUGAGCAUAGAAUGUCAGUUCUAUCCCGGAGAGCUUUGUUUCCUUGGUAUUCAUGUCCAUUACCCCACCUUAGGGCCCAACUUCCACCUUACAUUUUAGAACCUACUCCAUUUUAUCCUCCCUUGUCGAGAGGGCCUCACAACUAACCCCUCCUCAGUACUCAAUCACCUUGGCGUGCCCACUCAGGUUUGGUUCCCUGGAACCACACCCUUAAGUCGGAAACAGGCCUGCCUCAUCGUCCAUGGAAAGAGUAAAGGAGUUGUGCCUGAGUCAAUAUAUCUAUAACUAGUUCUCGCCUGUUCUCACUGGCUACUCAAGCGUACCUGUUUCUACACCCUAUCUUCUUAUAAGACUGUUUCUGUCUUUUGCUGCCCUGGGCCCUGUACCCUACACCCUACAGCUAGGUCUGACGGCUGUCUUAGACCUGCUGGUGGAGUCCUACCACCAUGGACCUGUUGUUUGGGCGCCGGAAGACGCCAGAGGAACUACUUCGGCAAAACCAGAGGGCCCUGAACCGAGCCAUGAGAGAACUGGACAGGGAACGACAAAAACUAGAAACCCAGGAAAAGAAAAUCAUUGCAGACAAAAUCCAACAACUCAAUGGCACAAGCCAUGAAGGGUGUUACUAAGGCCAUGGGCACCAUGAACAGACAGCUGAAAUUACCCCAGAUCCAGAAGAUCAUGAUGGAGUUUGAACGGCAGGCAGAGAUCAUGGACAUGAAGGAAGAAAUGAUGAAUGAUGCCAUUGAUGAUGCAAUGGGUGAUGAGGAAGAUGAAGAGGAGAGUGAUGCUGUUGUGUCCCAGGUACUGGAUGAGCUGGGACUGAGCCUCACAGAUGAGCUGUCAAACCUCCCCUCCACUGGAGGCUCACUCAGUGUGGCUGCUGGCGGAAAGAAAGCAGAGGCCACAGCCUCAGCUCUGGCUGAUGCUGAUGCAGACCUGGAAGAGAGGCUCAAGAACCUUCGCAGGGACUGAACACUCCACCUGGACUCAAUGCCUAGGAUCUUCAUCCUGUCCCCCCUGUAAUAAAGAAAUUUGGACACUA